GACCGUGGGCGUCAUUACAGCAAUCCCUUGGCGCUCGUACACGGACUGCAAACCAGAGAGCCACACUCUGCUGAGACAUUCAUCCGGCCAGUCAGCAGAAGAGCUCAUGAAGAAGAGGGCCAGGAUGGCUGGCCCACAGGGACAGGCACAGCGUGAUACUAUGGAGGUGUCCAGGUACCAAACCUGUGCAGGUGGGUAGGGUGCCUGACCUGUGAGAACUGCCAAGUGACCCUGGAAAGUAUCACAGAGACUGCAGCGGGCUGUCCCUUCCCUGGCCUGAAGGCGGACUUCUCAGAGAGUACCUGCCUACGCCCUCACAGCUGGUACACACCUAUGCUGUUUUGUCUGAGAUGGCUGGCCAGCUAUGCUCCACAGCCCUGGGAGGGACUUGGGAAAGAUUGGCCACUAAGGCUCACCAAGAACAUGUCUGUGGGUAUACUCUGAAAGGCUCAUCUAGGCUCCAGAGCCUCUACCCACCUGACCCUGGAAUCUGAGGCUGGGAAGAUGUGCUGUGACCGGAGGCUUUACCCUCCUGCCACCGUGACGUCUCUGCUGUGACAGACUGCAACCAGGAGGUGUGAGCCAGAUAAGCCCUCUCUCCUCCAAGAUGCUUUCGUCCAAUUUGUUUAAAUCCCAGAAACAGAAAUGAAGCUAGGACACACGACAAGGCCUCUCGGAGCAGCCGAGGAGACACAGAGAACUGAGCCCCUUCGUUCAAACAGCUCUGGCACAAAUGUCAACCAGCGUCUGAGGAGUGCUCAGGAGGCAUGCUCAAGACUGACCUGACAACAGGUCCACAAGCCCCCAGAUAUCCUUAAAUCACACUGCAAACAGCCCUGAGGAUGAGGACAUGGGGUGGCUUCUGUUACUGGCUCUCAUGCCCAUCCUUAGCUUGGGUCCUUGGGCAAAAACUCCUCUUGCUUGGGGGUGAGCAGUCAGCCCUGGGGCAAUAGCAACAGACAUAGACACUGAGGGCUUUAGUUCGCUCAUGGUCAACAGCUCAUGGGGGUUGUGACUAGCUGGUCCCUCAGUUACAACUGCAGUGGACUGACUGGUGUGUCUGGAGCUCUGACAGCACUGUGCUUCAAGCAUGGACCGACAGGAACCCAGGUGAGUCCAUCUGAAGCAGAUGGGGGUGGAGUGCAAAUGACCCCAAGAGACAGUCCCCUCACCAAACCUGUGCUGGUCACCUUCCCAUCCCACAAUCUUUCUUCUGGUACAGACACAGUUUUGUUUGAAGAGGGUGGGUGAAACAACACUUGCUAGGUGACUAACCAAGUUGGUCACUAGCUGCACAGAGGGCUUCUGGGAGGAGGUAGCAAGCUGAAAAAGGAGGGGCUAGAUUGCUUGCCAGGGUAGAGACAUCAGGACCACAAGCUGACACUAAAAAGCAAGCAGCAGCUGGCCUUUCCGGAUACAGGGACAUGACAGAGCACAGGCAUUUUGAACUCUGCAUAGGCCAAACUCUGGAGGCACCCUCCCAAAGAGUUCACACAACCCGAGGUAUCACCAGGCUCCCAUCUCCCCUCUUGCAGCAAGUUCAGACUGUGGCCAACCAUCCAGCCCAUGGAGAUUUAUGGCUCCAUUUGGCGUCUCUGUGUUCCACCUUAUCGCAAACCACUUAUCAAGUGCUCCAGCUCAGACAACAGCAAAGAAUUAAUCCCCUCUCUAAGGGAUGAGACGCCUCAUUUCCGAGGCUCUGAUCUGUGGGCUUUCAUCUUCGAAGGCCAUUUGUCACCUCCCACCCACACCUGCACAGUGAAGGCUGGCUAGAGACAAGCCACAGGCUACUUAAGGCAGUCACAAGGACUUAUAGCUUGUUAGUUAGACCCACAGCCUGUGGUCUGGGUAUGGGGCCCCAGGCUAACAACCCCACUCUGGAGGGCUAAGGAAGUAGCAUGAAUCCAGCCUGCACUAUAUAGCAAGCCCUGCCUAAGAAACCAAGCGAACAGGGCUGGAGGUUAAGCACUUGCUCUUGCAGAGGACCCAGGUUCAGUUUCUAGCAGCCCACCUUAGACAGUUCUGAGGGACCCAACACCCACUUCUGACCUUCAAGGGCACAUAUAGAUAUUUGGGCACACAGAGAGACAAGCAGGUGCACACAUAGACGAGGAGGCACAUGCACAUUCAAUAAUAAAAUAUUAAAAAAGCAAGCAAGCAAGCAAGCAAGCAAGCAAACAAACAAACAAACCUAACAGAAGUCUGUGGCCUGAAGAUCUGUUCUUAUGCAGCUUUCUAAAACAUUCUAGAAUCAUC
rnacentral:lncRNA from 1 species